UGGUGAAUAUUGGACACUGGGUGGAACCCUUAUCCAGCCAUGCCGCGUGUGUGAAGAAGGCCUUAUGGUUGUAAAGCACUUUAAGCGAGUAGGAGGGUACUGGUAUUAAUACUACCAGCUACUGGACGUUACUCGCAGAAUAAGCACCGGCUAACUCUGUGCCAGCAGCCGCGGUAAUACAGAGGGUGCGAGCGUUAAUCGGAUUUACUGGGCGUAAAGCGUGCGUAGGCGGCUAAUUGAGUCGGAUGUGAAAUCCCCGAGCUUAACUUGGGACUUGCAUUGGAUACUGGUUAGCUAGAGUGUGGGAGAGGAUGGUAGAAUUCGAGGUGUAGCGGUGAAAUGCGUAGAGAUCUGGAGGAAUACCGAUGGCGAAGGCAGCCAUCUGGCCUAACACUGACGCUGAGGUACGAAAGAAUGGGGAGCAAACAGG
rnacentral:rRNA from 1 species